AUACAGUAAUUAAAAUAAUUACUGGCUUGUGAUGCAUGUUUGACAAAAUUAGAACAGCAAUAUUAAACUGAUGACACAAUCAGCAAAUACAACGGAGAUUCCCUGAUUUUGGUUUUGCUGUGUUUUCUUCUUGGUAAAAGGGCCGUUUUUCCUCACUGCAUUAAGCGUGACAAGCUAACAUGAAGUGGACCAAACAACAGACUGUUACCACAUUUACACUGGUCUCAUCGUUAGGUACACCUGUACAAGCUACAAUGAUCCAAUAUGACAGCUGUAACAAAGAUUCCCUUCAAUAAUGCUCCAUUUUGGGCAACUGCCAUAUUAGCCUAGAUUCUCAUCAGGGUCCCAUGGAUUCCCGCGGGAUGGGAUUGAAUUUCAUUGUUAAUCAUUGGAUUGGGAAGGAGCGAGAACGAACGUCACCGGGAGCAGCAACAAAGGUCACUGGGAACUAUGACAACAAAAUCACUGGGAGUGGAAACCUUGACAGGGGUAAAAAUCAUGGAUUUCGCAGGAUCCUGUAAAAUUUGGGCUCGGGAUUGGGAGGGAAUGCGAUCAAUAUGUGUGGGAGUGGGAGCGAGCAAGAGUCAAAAUCCACUCCCGUGACAGCCUUUAGUAUGUAUUGCCAUCAUUAUCUCACACUUCACAGGUUUAGGGUCACCCCAACCAUUUCAUGUUUUCCUUGAAAACACACUAUUGUAUAUAUACACUGCCACUGGGAUUUGGGGGUCACUUAAAAAUAUGUUUAAUUUUGAAACAAAAGCAUUUUUUUUUUUUUAACCACAAUAAUUUCGACUGCAUUGUGAUUUUGUUUAAAAAAUAGGGACGUUUCUAAGAGCCCCCAAAUUUGCAUUAUGCGAUUGCAUUGUUAUAAAGGGCAGGUGAUAUGAUAUAAGCCUAUCUGAUAAGGGAUGAGAUAUUAUGACGUAAGAUUCAGUAUUUCAUCAGAAGUACAAACAUUGCCACAGCUGAAGUUAAACAGCAAUAUCUGCUGCCUCAACAAGAAGUGCUCCUUGAGCUUUGUCAACACAACGUGAACACUAGUAUACUGUCAGAAAAGUGGGUUAUAUCAUGUAUUUUUAUUUAUUUGUUCAAUAUUUUUUACUGAAGGUAAACCAGCCGACGUUGAUCCGUGUAGGCUAGACGAUCAACCAGCACGUCUAUAAAGAGAACUUGUGGCUGCUUCACCAUGACAAUGCGCCUACUCACAACACCCUCAAGGGGACCCGUUUUGAAGACAUAGACAACAUCAAGAUAGCCAUGACGACGAAGCUGAGAAGAAUCCGUCAAGGACUGCAUGAAACCGUGGUUGUGAAAGUGCGAUGGAAUCUGGGAGUGGGUUUCUUCAAAAGGG